UGGGGAAUUUUGGACAAUGGGCGAAAGCCUGAUCCAGCAAUGCCGCGUGUGUGAAGAAGGCCUUCGGGUUGUAAAGCACUUUUGUCCGGAAAGAAAUCCUUGGCUCUAAUACAGUCGGGGGAUGACGGUACCGGAAGAAUAAGCACCGGCUAACUACGUGCCAGCAGCCGCGGUAAUACGUAGGGUGCAAGCGUUAAUCGGAAUUACUGGGCGUAAAGCGUGCGCAGGCGGUUUGCUAAGACCGAUGUGAAAUCCCGGGCUCAACCUGGGAACUGCAUUGGUGACUGGCAGGCUAGAGUAUGGCAGAGGGGGGUAGAAUUCCACGUGUAGCAGUGAAAUGCGUAGAGAUGUGGAGGAAUACCGAUGGCGAAGGCAGCCCCCUGGGCCAAUACUGACGCUCAUGCACGAAAGCGUGGGGAGCAAACAGGAUUAGAUACCCUGGUAGUCCACGCCCUAAAACGAUGUCAACUAGUUGUUGGGGGAUUCAUUUCCUUAGUAACGUAGCUAACGCGUGAAGUUGACCGCCUGGGGAGUACGGUCGCAAGAUUAAAACUCAAAUGAAUUGACGGGGUCAUAGCUGUUUCCU
rnacentral:rRNA from 1 species